rnacentral:rRNA from 1 species
GAUGAACGCUGGCGGCGUGCCUAAUACAUGCAAGUCGAGCGAACAGACGAGGAGCUUGCUCCUCUGACGUUAGCGGCGGACGGGUGAGUAACACGUGGGUAACCUACCUAUAAGACUGGGAUAACGUCGGGAAACCGGAGCUAAUACCGGAUAAUAUAUUGAACCGCAUGGUUCAAUAGUGAAAGACGGUUUUGCUGUCACUUAUAGAUGGAUCCGCGCCGCAUUAGCUAGUUGGUAAGGUAACGGCUUACCAAGGCAACGAUGCGUAGCCGACCUGAGAGGGUGAUCGGCCACACUGGAACUGAGACACGGUCCAGACUCCUACGGGAGGCAGCAGUAGGGAAUCUUCCGCAAUGGGCGCAAGCCUGACGGAGCAACGCCGCGUGAGUGAUGAAGGUCUUCGGAUCGUAAACCUCUGUUAUUCGGGAAGAACAAAUGUGUAAGUAACUAUGCACGUCUUGACGGUACCUAAUCAGAAAGCCACGGCUAACUACUUG